rnacentral:sRNA from 1 species
ACUCAACGCUAUAUAUUUAAAAAGGGUGAGUCUCGGUUAGUAAAGCGUGCCGUGCCGAUUUAUCGGCUUAGCGGAUACUUGAUCAGCUGGUUAACCCUAAACUUGUCUUACAAGGAGUUU